AGCCAUGCAAGCUCAGAAGUGAGUUAAUUCUCAAAUCUGCGAAAGGCUCCGUAUAACUGUUAUAACCUACUGUGUUACACAAUAUAUGGAUAAUACCAGUAAAUCCGAUAAUAAUACAUUGGAAAAAUGCAGGAAUCAGAGUAGCUUUUGAAAGGAAUUUUCCAAUCGUUAAUCUAAAAAUUCUCGUGCAAGAAUCUUCCUAUAAAUCUCAUGGCGAAAUGAUGGAGACUCUCAUUAUAAAUAGUGAAUAUGUAUGGGAUCAAAAAUAUAUUUGCUGUACAUAUAUUCCAAUAAAUAAUUAAAUCAUCUCCCUAUGAUUUAAAUAAAAUUAUUAUUAAUGCAACAGCUUUAUAUUCCCCUCACAGCCACAUGGAAUAAAUGAGAGAUUAAGCUCUUGAUAUAUAUUGGUAAUUCAUUACUAUAGUAGAUAUACAAUCACAAUGGGUUUCAGUCCUAUCAGCUAGAUGGUAGGGUAUUGGCCUACCAUGGCGUUUACGGGUACAGAGGAUCAGGGUUCGAUCCUGGAGAGGUAGCCUGAGAAAUAGCUACCACUUCUAAGGAAGGCAGCAGGCGCGCAACGUUCCCAAUGGCUGAAAGGCUGAGGACGUUAUGGAACAUAGCAAUACUUCACAUUAGUGAGGCAAUUGAAAUGGGGGAGGUUUAAAUCACCCACCGAGUAACAAUUGGAGGACAAGUCU
rnacentral:rRNA from 1 species